AUUGAACGCUGGCGGCAGGCCUAACACAUGCAAGUCGAGCGGAUGAAGGGAGCUUGCUCCUGGAUUCAGCGGCGGACGGGUGAGUAAUGCCUAGGAAUCUGCCUGGUAGUGGGGGAUAACGUCCGGAAACGGGCGCUAAUACCGCAUACGCCCUGAGGGAGAAAGUGGGGGAUCUUCGGACCUCACGCUAUCAGAUGAGCCUAGGUCGGAUUAGCUAGUUGGUGGGGUAAAGGCCUACCAAGGCGACGAUCCGUAACUGGUCUGAGAGGAUGAUCAGUCACACUGGAACUGAGACACGGUCCAGACUCCUACGUGAGGCAGCAGUGGGGAAUAUUGGACAAUGGGCGAAAGCCUGAUCCAGCCAUGCCGCGUGUGUGAAGAAGGUCUUCGGAUUGUAAAACACUUUAAGUUGGGAGGAAGGGCAGUAAGUUAAUACCUUGCUGUUUUGACGUUACCAACAGAAUAAGCACCGGCUAACUUCGUG
rnacentral:rRNA from 1 species